UACAGAGGUCUCGAGCGUUGUUCGGAUUCAUUGGGCGUAAAGGGUGCGUAGGCGGCGCGGUAAGUCGGGUGUGAAAUCUCGGGGCUUAACUCCGAAACUGCAUUCGAUACUGCCGUGCUUGAGGACUGGAGAGGAGACUGGAAUUUACGGUGUAGCGGUGAAAUGCGUAGAUAUCGUAAGGAAGACCAGUGGCGAAGGCGGGUCUCUGGACAGUUCCUGACGCUGAGGCACGAAGGCCAGGGGGAGCAAAACGGGG
rnacentral:rRNA from 1 species